GAUGAACGCUGGCGGCGUGCCUAAUACAUGCCAGUCGAGCGAACGGACGAGAAGCUUGCUUCUCUGAUGUUAGCGGCGGACGGGUGAGUAACACGUGGAUAACCUACCUAUAAGACUGGGAUAACUUCGGGAAACCGGAGCUAAUACCGGAUAAUAUUUUGAACCGCAUGGUUCAAAAGUGAAAGACGGUCUUGCUGUCACUUAUAGAUGGAUCCGCGCUGCAUUAGCUAGUUGGUAAGGUAACGGCUUACCAAGGCAACGAUGCAUAGCCGACCUGAGAGGGUGAUCGGCCACACUGGAACUGAGACACGGUCCAGACUCCUACGGGAGGCAGCAGUAGGGAAUCUUCCGCAAUGGGCGAAAGCCUGACGGAGCAACGCCGCGUGAGUGAUGAGGGUCUUCGGAUCGUAAAACUCUGUUAUUAGGGAAGAACAUAUGUGUAAGUAACUGUGCACAUCUUGACGGUACCUAAUCAGAAAGCCACGGCUAACUACGUG
rnacentral:rRNA from 1 species